rnacentral:rRNA from 1 species
UGGGUACGAGAUGCUACGGCAUCGAAGCAGUCUAUGUCAUACUUCCAAGAAAAGCUUGCACUGUCAUAAACAAAUAAUGCCUGUACCAUAACCGACACAGGUGGGUAGGUAGAGUAUACUAAGGGGCGCGAGAUAACUCUCUCUAAGGAACUCGGCAAAAUGACUCCGUAACUUCGGGAGAAGGAGUGCCUUAUUUUAUAAGGUUGCAAUAACAAGAUCCAAGCAACUGUUUAUCAAAAACACAGGUCUCCGCUAAGUCGUAAGACGAUGUAUGGGGGCUGACGCCUGCCCAGUGCCAGAAGGUUAAAGAAGUUGGUUAGCAUUAGCGAAGCUGAUAACUGAAGCCCUGGUGAACGGCGGCCGUAACGAUAACGGUCCUAAGGUAGCGAAAUUCCUUGUCGGGUAAGUUCCGACCCGCACGAAAGGCGUAAUGAUUUGGAUACUGUCUCGGAGAGGGGCUCGGUGAAAUAGACCUGUCUGUGAAGAUGCGGACUACCUGCACCUGGACAGAAAGACCCUAUGAAGCUUUACUGUAACUUGAGAUUGAAAUUGGACUUUAUUUGCGCAGUAUAGGUGGGAGACGUUGAAAAUAUUCUUGCGGGAAUAUUGGAGUCAUCAGUGAGAUACCACUCUUAUAAUGUUAGAUUUCUAACUUUGUAUCAUUAUCUGGUCAAAGAACAGUCUCAGGCGGGCAGUUUGACUGGGGCGGUCGCCUCCCAAACGGUAACGGAGGCGCACAAAGGUUUCCUCUGAACGUGUAGAAAUCGUAUCUAGAGUGUAAAGGCAUAAGGAAGCUUGACUGUGAGACCUACAAGUCGAGCAGGGACGAAAGUCGGUCUUAGUGAUCUGACGGUGCUGAGUGGAAAGGCCGUCACUCAACGGAUAAAAGUUAUUCUAAGGAUAACAGGCUGAUCUCCCCCAAGAGUUCACAUCGACGGGGAGGUUUGGCACCUCGAUGUCGGCUCAUCGCAUCCUGGGGCGGUAGUACGUCCCAAGGGUUGGGCUGUUCGCCCAUGAAAGCGGUACGCGAGCUGGGUUCAGAACGUCGUGAGACAGUUCGGUCCAUAUCCGGUGUAGGCGUUAGAAUAUUGAGAGGAGCCUUCUUUAGUACGAGAGGACCGAGAAGGACAUACCUCUGGUGUACCAGUUAUCGUGCCAACGGUAAACGCUGGGUAGCUAUGUAUGGAGAGGAUAACCGCUGAAAGCAUCUAAGUGGGAAGCCCACCUCAAGAUAAG